rnacentral:lncRNA from 1 species
GGGAGCUGCUAUCACUGAAUACAUAAAGAAAUUGAGCCUGUAUGAUUUCAAUCUUCACCUUCUGAUGCUGAUGAAACAGGAUUCUAUGCAGUUUUCCACAGGGAGAAGCAGCAGGCUGAAGUGGCUCUUAAGGGAGACGCAUACCUCCACAGGCAGAACAGUCUAGAUUGUUUUAGCACAUUCCACUUAAGGAUUGCAGUGUGACAGCAGAGAAAAUCCUCUCCAGUGAAGUAAUUGCAUCCAUUUCAUCUUCCCAGCCCUCCUCUAGAUGGGAGGUGGAGGACAGUGGGGACUCCAGACAGAGCCUGGGGACUUGGCUGCCUUGGAACCAGAACCUGGCCCUUCAGAGGAGUUGCAGAAUUUCGAUAGAGGAGUUGGGGGAGGUGUACUGGCUGAAGAGGAGGCCAAGGAACUCCUUUUCAUUCAUCAAAACUCAGCUUAUCACCUCUACCAUGAAGUCAUCCUGGACAUCACUCGUCCCAGUUAAUCACUCAAUCAUCUUUGCCAUCCUUGACCUGGGAUGAGAACAUUGCCCUCAUUGGUCUGGAAUCAGCAGGUACCUCAUGGCUGGAGGUGUAUUUUCAGACUCCUUUGGCAUCUGGUGAGGCCUGUGGAUUCAUUCUCAGAAUCACAUUUUUAAAUGCACAUAAUAAAAUACAUAGAGUUGCAAAGGAAGUUAAUUAUAUUGAAAUACAGUUAUCAAAAAUAUGAAUAAA